UACGUAGGGUGCGAGCGUUAAUCGGAAUUACUGGGCGUAAAGCGUGCGCAGGCGGUGAUGUAAGACAGUUGUGAAAUCCCCGGGCUCAACCUGGGAAUUGCAUCUGUGACUGCAUCGCUAGAGUACGGUAGAGGGGGAUGGAAUUCCCGGUGUAGCAGUGAAAUGCGUAGAGAUCGGGAGGAACAUCUGUGGCGAAGGCGACUACCUGGACCAGCACUGACACUGAGGCAUGAAAGCGUGGGGAGCAAACAGG
rnacentral:rRNA from 1 species